AGGGAAACAACCCAGACCGCCAGCUAAGGUCCCAAAGUCAUGGUUAAGUGGGAAACGAUGUGGGAAGGCCCAGACAGCCAGGAUGUUGGCUUAGAAGCAGCCAUCAUUUAAAGAAAGCGUAAUAGCUCACUGGUCGAGUCGGCCUGCGCGGAAGAUGUAACGGGGCUAAACCAUGCACCGAAGCUGCGGCAGCGACACUCAGGUGUUGUUGGGUAGGGGAGCGUUCUGUAAGCCUGUGAAGGUGGCCUGUGAGGGUUGCUGGAGGUAUCAGAAGUGCGAAUGCUGACAUAAGUAACGAUAAAGCGGGUGAAAAGCCCGCUCGCCGGAAGACCAAGGGUUCCUGUCCAACGUUAAUCGGGGCAGGGUGAGUCGACCCCUAAGGCGAGGCCGAAAGGCGUAGUCGAUGGGAAACGGGUUAAUAUUCCCGUACUUGGUGUUACUGCGAAGGGGGGACGGAGAAGGCUAUGUUGGCCGGGCGACGGUUGUCCCGGUUUAAGCGUGUAGGUGUGUGUUCCAGGUAAAUCCGGUUCACUUUAACACUGAGGCGUGACGACGAGGCACUACGGUGCUGAAGCAACAAAUGCCCUGCUUCCAGGAAAAGCCUCUAAGCAUCAGGUAACAUCAAAUCGUACCCCAAACCGACACAGGUGGUCAGGUAGAGAAUACCAAGGCGCUUGAGAGAACUCGGGUGAAGGAACUAGGCAAAAUGGUGCCGUAACUUCGGGAGAAGGCACGCUGACACGUAGGUGAAGUGAUUUACUCAUGGAGCUGAAGUCAGUCGAAGAUACCAGCUGGCUGCAACUGUUUAUUAAAAACACAGCACUGUGCAAACACGAAAGUGGACGUAUACGGUGUGACGCCUGCCCGGUGCCGGAAGGUUAAUUGAUGGGGUCAGCGCAAGCGAAGCUCCUGAUCGAAGCCCCGGUAAACGGCGGCCGUAACUAUAACGGUCCUAAGGUAGCGAAAUUCCUUGUCGGGUAAGUUCCGACCUGCACGAAUGGCGUAAUGAUGGCCAGGCUGUCUCCACCCGAGACUCAGUGAAAUUGAACUCGCUGUGAAGAUGCAGUGUACCCGCGGCAAGACGGAAAGACCCCGUGAACCUUUACUAUAGCUUGACACUGAACAUUGAGCCUUGAUGUGUAGGAUAGGUGGGAGGCUUUGAAGUGUGGACGCCAGUCUGCAUGGAGCCGACCUUGAAAUACCACCCUUUAAUGUUUGAUGUUCUAACGUGGACCCGUUACCCGGGUUGCGGACAGUGUCUGGUGGGUAGUUUGACUGGGGCGGUCUCCUCCUAAAGAGUAACGGAGGAGCACGAAGGUUGGCUAAUCCUGGUCGGACAUCAGGAGGUUAGUGCAAUGGCAUAAGCCAGCUUGACUGCGAGCGUGACGGCGCGAGCAGGUGCGAAAGCAGGUCAUAGUGAUCCGGUGGUUCUGAAUGGAAGGGCCAUCGCUCAACGGAUAAAAGGUACUCCGGGGAUAACAGGCUGAUACCGCCCAAGAGUUCAUAUCGACGGCGGUGUUUGGCACCUCGAUGUCGGCUCAUCACAUCCUGGGGCUGAAGUAGGUCCCAAGGGUAUGGCUGUUCGCCAUUUAAAGUGGUACGCGAGCUGGGUUUAGAACGUCGUGAGACAGUUCGGUCCCUAUCUGCCGUGGGCGCUGGAGAACUGAGGGGGGCUGCUCCUAGUACGAGAGGACCGGAGUGGACGCAUCACUGGUGUUCGGGUUGUCAUGCCAAUGGCACUGCCCGGUAGCUAAAUGCGGAAGAGAUAAGUGCUGAAAGCAUCUAAGCACGAAACUUGCCCCGAGAUGAGUUCUCCCUGAGACUUUAGGUCUCCUGAAGGAACGUUGAAGACGACGACGUUGAUAGGCCGGGUGUGUAAGCGCAGCGAUGCGUUGAGCUAACCGGUACUAAUGAACCGUGAGGCUUAACCUU
rnacentral:rRNA from 1 species